rnacentral:rRNA from 1 species
CGCAUCUGUGCAUGCAGCAUAUCAAUAAGCGGAGGAAAAGAAACUAACAAGGAUUCCCCUAGUAACGGCGAGUGAAGCGGGAAGAGCUCAAAUUUGAAAUCUUAAAGGGUUUCCCUUUACGAAUUGUAGUUUAAAGAAGUGUUUUCUGUUGAGGUUUUGGUAAAAGUUCUUUGGAAUAGGACAUCAUAGAGGGUGAGAAUCCCGUAUUUGACCUUUACUUUCAACUUUGUGAUACACUUUCAAAGAGUCGGAUUGUUUGGGAAUGCAGUCCAAAAUGGGUGGUAAAUUUCAUCUAAAGCUAAAUAUUGGCGAGAGACCGAUAGCGAACAAGUACCGUGAGGGAAAGAUGAAAAGAACUUUGAAAAGAGAGUUAAACAGUACGUGAAAUUGUCAAAAGGGAAGCGUUUGACACCAGUGUUGUUUUUCUGAAAAUCAAUUAAAGAACUGUUUAUGCUAAGUUAUUUCAGACUUUAUCAGCUAUCUGCUUAGUUUUGAGCUUUUCUUUAAUGCACUUUUCAGUUAACAAGUCAACAUCAAUUUCUUUUGCUGUAAAAAAGCUUGAGGAAGGUGGCUUGAGAUUCGUCUUAAGUGUUUAUAGCCUCUUGCCUAUGCAGUCGGAGAGAUUGAGGUCUGCAGCGUAGAUCCUUCGGGGCUAAAUGCAUUUGUGCUAAGUUAUAGCAUUUUAUAGACAACUUGUUGACUAUGAUUUGUCUUGUAGCUUACUCGCUUAUGUUAUUUUACCUACGCUUAGGAUGUUGAGCGCAUGUCUCUCUCU